rnacentral:rRNA from 1 species
GACGAACGCUGGCGGCGUGCUUAACACAUGCAAGUCGAACGGAAAGGCCCUGCUUUUGUGGGGUGCUCGAGUGGCGAACGGGUGAGUAACACGUGAGUAACCUGCCCUUGACUUUGGGAUAACUUCAGGAAACUGGGGCUAAUACCGGAUAGGAGCUCCUGCUGCAUGGUGGGGGUUGGAAAGUUUCGGCGGUUGGGGAUGGACUCGCGGCUUAUCAGCUUGUUGGUGGGGUAGUGGCUUACCAAGGCUUUGACGGGUAGCCGGCCUGAGAGGGUGACCGGCCACAUUGGGACUGAGAUACGGCCCAGACUCCUACGGGAGGCAGCAGUGGGGAAUAUUGCACAAUGGGCGGAAGCCUGAUGCAGCAACGCCGCGUGAGUGAUGAAGGUCUUCGGAUCGUAAAACUCUGUUAUUAGGGAAGAACAAAUGUGUAAGUAACUAUGCACGUCUUGACGGUACCUAAUCAGAAAGCCACGGCUAACUACG